CUUGACCCAAAUUACGUGCCAGCAGUCGCGGUAAUACGUAGAAGACUAGUGUUAUUCAUGUUUAAUCGGUUUAAAGGGGACCUAGACGGUAAAUCAAGCCUAAAAUUAAGUUAAAGGACUAAUUUACUAGAGUUACUUAUGAGGGGGUAUUAAAGUACUGCUGGUGUAGAGAUGAAAUUCUGUCAUACCUCUUUUCAAUAGAAAAAWAACGGCACAGGUAUAGGCGAAAGCAUCCCCUUAUGUGAUAACUGACGUUGAGGGACGAAGGCUUUGUGUAGCGAACAGGAUUAGAUACCCCCGUAGUCAAAGCAGAAAAUGAUGAAUGUCAUAGAUUAGAUAAAUAAGUUUAUUCUAUAAAUGAAAGUGUAAGCAUUCCACCUCAAGAGUAAUUUGGCAACAUUGGAACUGAAAUCAUUAGACCGUUUCUGAAACCAGUAGUGAAGUAUGUUGUUUAAUUUGAUGAUCCGCAAAAAACCUUACCACAAUUUGAAUAUUUAUAUCUUUUAUUGUUUUUUUUUUAUUUUUCUUCUGAUUUUCAUUGUAUGAUUUUCUUCUUAUUCUAUAUGCAUGCACAUGCACAUGCAAAAGAAUAAGAAAAAAAAACAAUUGAUCAUUAUAUCAUAAUAAAAAGAGGCGAUAUGAUAUAUUUACUAGCGUUGCACGGCUGUCUUCAGUUAAUGUCGCGAGACUUUGGUUAGUUCC
rnacentral:rRNA from 1 species